UUUCCGUAGGUGAACCUGCGGAAGGAUCAUUAUUGUAUAACCGAGGUGCGAGGGCUGUCGCUGACCCGAAAGGUCGUGCACGCCCGAGUGCCCUCACACACAUCCAUCUCACCCCUAUGUGCACCACCGCGUGGGUCCCCCUUUGGCUUGUUCGGAGGGGGGCUUACGUUUUCACACAAACUUUGUAUGCAGUGUAGAAUGUAUCUUUCGUUUUUGCGAUCACGCAAUCAAUACAACUUUCAACAACGGAUCUCUUGGCUCUC
rnacentral:misc_RNA from 1 species